ACGUCAUUAGCUUGACCCAUCAGUAGAUGCCUACUGGCAUAACAUAGCCUCCAUCAGUAGAUGCUUAAUCCCCUAACGUCCAUCAGUAGAUGCUAUCAUUCAUCAUCCUCAUCAUAGCAGCAUCAAUUAGUAAAUGUUGUCAUCUGAGUCCUCCUAAUAUCCCUUAGUGGAUGUUGUACAGCAUCCAUCAGUAAAUGUUGUCAUUACUGCAAAAC
rnacentral:lncRNA from 1 species